AAAUGUGCUCUUUUAAUAUUUCUCCAGUAAGGUUUCUUAAGGAGAAAGCCCCC
rnacentral:snRNA from 1 species